AUUACAUAGUGUAUGUAGCGUAUGAUGUUCUCGUUGAAACUUUAUUUCAAGAAGAAAGAUAGUCGUUUUGUGCAAAUCCCUCCCACAGGUCGAAAAAUGUAUAUAAAGAAAUAAAGUUAUUGACUCGGAAGUUGUGAAUGUAACUAACCAGUGUUAAUAUAACAAUGAGGGAAGUGAACUGUUUGUGAAUACGACAUAGAUCCAAUAUUAAGGUGGACAAUUCUAAGGAACAGAUCAGUAAACGACGUCACGUUGUUUCACAGACGUGGGAUACUUGGCGAGAUACAAUUUCAUUGUUGUGUUCAAGGCUCUUAUGAUUAAAUUAGUGAGCGUCUGAAAUAAAGGUUAAGUUCACAUGCGAGUUUGGAGUUUUAUUUUAAUGACUCCGCAUCUAUAGUGUUGGAGAAAUGUAUUGUAACA